GAUGAACGCUGGCGGCGUGCCUAAUACAUGCAAGUCGAGCGAACAGACGAGGAGCUUGCUCCUCUGACGUUAGCGGCGGACGGGUGAGUAACACGUGGAUAACCUACCUAUAAGACUGGGAUAACUUCGGGAAACCGGAGCUAAUACCGGAUAAUAUAUUGAACCGCAUGGUUCAAUAGUGAAAGACGGUUUUGCUGUCACUUAUAGAUGGAUCCGCGCCGCAUUAGCUAGUUGGUAAGGUAACGGCUUACCAAGGCAACGAUGCGUAGCCGACCUGAGAGGGUGAUCGGCCACACUGGAACUGAGACGCGGUCCAGACUCCUACGGGAGGCAGCAGUAGGGAAUCUUCCGCAAUGGGCGAAAGCUUGACGGAGCAACGCCGCGUGAGUGAUGAAGGUCUUCAGAUCGUAAAACUCUGUUAUUAGGGAAGAACAAAUGUGUAAGUAACUAUGCACGUCUUGACGGUACCUAAUCAGAAAGCCACGGCUAACUACGUG
rnacentral:rRNA from 1 species